CAUGUACUCCGCAUUGUUUAAUGUCUUAUACGCUUUUACGUUGUCUUAUUUUACUUCUUUCUAAACUUAAAGCAGUCAUUGUGCAUAUUCAUCAACAAUGAUAUUCUGAGGAUGGAAAAUUCAAAGCCAUCACCAUUUUUGACAUCACUGUUCGCAAUUGGAAUAGGGGCCUACUUUCUGAGAGACUGUCCUGUCCAGCCUCACAUCCCAGUCUACCUUAUAGUAUUUGGUGUAUUUGUUUUGCUUGUUCUGAUAGUGACCCUAGGCUUGUUCUACGGUCUGCUUGCAAAAGACACCUUUGAAAUGCUGCUGUUGUCUCUGCUGGUCAUCUCCAUCAGCUUCAUCCUCUACCUGUUUGUUGUCUGCUGGUUCAUCGCAGGGAGUGUCUGGAUAUACUCUGUUCAUCGUCCCAGUUAUGACCCAACACAUGAACAGAACUACUGCAACAAAACUCUGUACCUCUUUGCAUUCUGGUUGAACUCAGUCUGCUAUGGCUGUCUGGCUGUCCUGUUGCUUUGUAUUGGGUUUUCAGUGUUUUAUAUCUGCGUACAAAAUCCUUGUCAAAGAUCAUCGGCUUCAAACUCUCAGCAACAAGCAUAAGACUUCUUUGGAAAGUAUUAUGGUUUUAUGGUAACAUUUUAUAAGGUUCAUUAGUUAAUGUAUUAACUAACAUGAACUAACAACGAUCAAUAGAUUUGUUACAGUAUUUGUUCAUCUUUGUUAAUGUUAGUUCAUAAAACUCCAGCUGUUCAUUGUUUGUUCAUGUUAGUUCACAGUGCAUUAACUAAAUACAAAUUUUGAAUUUAAUAUUGAAAUUAUAUGAAGUUAAUAUUAAGAUUAAUAAAUGCUUUAGAGGUAUUGUUAAUUCUUAGUUUAUGUUAACUAAGGUAGUUAACUAAUGUUACAUAAUGAACCUUAUUGUAAAGUGUUACUGUUUUUGGAUUUGGCAGAUGCUUUAUUCAAAUCAAGCACUAUUCGUACAUUUUAUCAAUAUGUUCUCAAAAACUCAAACCCAUGAUCUUGGCAUUAUAUAUCCUGUUUUCUACCAGUACAGUGCACAGAAAAGCACCUUUUUAUACAUUAUCUGUAUACUGUAUUUCCAUCUAGUUCAAAAUGAAGGCCUAGACUUGAAGGUGGUUUUUAUGUUUCAGUUUGGGUUGGCUAAAACAGUUUCUCAACAUUUCACCAAAGGAAGUGUUUCAAAAAUACUUUGCAAGUCUGGAGACCACAGAACUGUGAAAACAUACUGGUUGACUCAGAGCAGCUCGUUCAGUCCUAUUCACGUCUUCAUGAUGAAGCUCAUUCUGGGGGUCAGACAGCCUGAGCCAAAUUAAUAAGAGAUAGUUCACAUUUCUAUGGACUGGUUAAGAAAUCGUUAAAGAUGGAGACUACCGAGAGAGCUGCCAGAAAAUCUUUCAUUGUGAUCAUUAACAUGAUUGCGUGGAUGAUUUUAAUAACAGCUACUGGAUUAGGAACAAUCCAUUUUCAUGAGUGCCCUGUUCAACCAAAGCUCCCCAUCUAUAUGACCGUGAUCGGGGCGACCGGUCUGUUUGCACUGUUGCUCAUGUACCUGAGGAACACUUUGGAUGACUGUCCGCUGGCUCGCUUCUGCGCUGCCUUCAGCUUGAUGCUCUGUGUAUUCAUUGUGUGCUGGUUUAUUGCUGGUACCUACUGGAUUUACUCCAUAUAUCCUCCCAAUAAUGACUCCACCAGGACUGGAAACCACUGUCAUAGAACCCUGUAUCUGUUUGCAUUUUGGUUCAACAAUAUAUGCUUUCUCUGUGUGUCCAUACUGUUUGUCUUUUGUUUGUACACCAUUUUGUACAA